CUUUGCAUCCUUCGCCGCUGGUUGGAAAUGCAGUUUUGGACCCCCUCCUCCCCCGCCAGGGCUCCCACCCAACCGGAAUCUGCAUUUUAACCGGACACCCAGGCGAUUCCUGUGCACAUUAAGUGUGAGACGACCUGGGUCUUGCUCUGUCACCCAGGCUGGAGCACAGUGGCACAAUCAUGCUUCACUGCAGCCUCGACCUCCCAGGCUCAAGCAGUUCUCCCACCUCAGUCUCCUGAGUAGCUGGAAUACAGGAAAGAAAAUGAAGUGGUUGAAAACAAAGUUAGAGCUGAAGAGUUAAGUUUCUGGUGCCUGCGUUGGAGAGUUUUGCUGAUUGAUCCUGUCAUUUUUAAACAAUAUAUGCUACCAAAAAAGAAAGUCUUCUAAGCCCCAGGGUCCAGUGCUGAGACGGGGUUUCACUACGUUGCCCAGGUUGGUCUGGAACUCCAGGACUCACUCAAUCUUCUAGCCUCGGCCUCCCAAGGUGCUGGGAUUACAGGCGUGAGCCACCGUGCCUACUCGAAUGAGGGGUUCUUCAAAUACAAGCUGCUGCCUCAGAACCACUCAAGUGUAUUGUAAUUUUUGCCUCUCAAAGCUGAGAUCUUCUGAUUAGGAGUUGACAAGAAUAAGACUUUGACCUUCUAUCCAGUGGUGGGGAAAUAUGUGUUGGCAUUUAUUUUUAAAAUGCUGAAGUAGAGGUUAAAUUGACAGCCA
rnacentral:lncRNA from 10 species